UUGACCUCGAAUCGGUUCAGACAAACUCGCUAAAUUGAA
rnacentral:rRNA from 4 species